UUUUUUUUUUUUUUUUUUUUUUUCUCUUGCUUUUUUAGAACUGCACCUGUGGCAUGCCGAGGUUCCCAGGCUAGGGGUGGAAUCAGAGCUGCAGCUGCUGGCCUACACCACAGCCACAGCACUCCAGAUCCAAGCUGCAUCUGUGAUGUACACCACAGCUCACCGCAGUGCUGGAUCCUUAACCCAGAGAGGCCCGGAAUCGAACCGUCAUCCUCACAGAUAUUAGGCUAGUUUCUUACUGAUGAGCUGCAGCAGAAACUCCUUAUGCUUAAAAUGAUAACAUACCAGUUUUGAAUUUUCACUUUAGUUUAUUUAACUUGGUAAUAUAAUCUGCCUUUUAAAAAGAAAGUUGGGGGUAUAUAUUUUUUUUCGGUGUGAAACUGGACAUUCUGGACAUUCUAGUGAAAUUGUAUGAUUUUUAGAAAAGGAAAAUGAAUGAUUUUUUAAUUUAGCAAAUUCCUAGGCAAAUUCAAUACUUAAUGCUUUUGCAUAGAUGCUGAAUGUUUUCAUAUUGAUAGCUAGAGUUUAUAAUUGUAAUUUGACAAUUCCUUUCUUCUGGUAGGAAUUAUGAAUGGUAGUUGUUUUUUUUUUUUAUAGCGAGUUACAUUAGCCGUGUUUGUUAAAACUUAUUUUGAGAAGUUGGCAUAGUUUAGCUAUUUUUAUUAUUUUUCUAGUUUAGAAUUGCAAGAAUCUUUUGGUCAGAGAAGUUAAGAUCAGUGCUAAACACUGUAAAUCUACUCUAAGAGUGUAAUUGUCUGUUUGCUACAUUGAUAACUCACUCCUUUACCACGAAAGAGAAUAAAAUACAUACAUUUACACACAAUUACAUUCACACAGAUUAUUAUAUUAUGGAUCUUAAGAAACAGAUUAAGUGACUCCCACUGGAGAAGUGGAAUGGAAAAUAUGCUGAGAAUAAGUAAAAUAUAAAAUGCAUAAAUUGGUUAAAAAACAGUGUAACUAUAUAAAUAUGUCCUCACAAUUUGUUACAUCUUAUUGAUUCUUCCAUAUAGGCAUUACACCAUUCUAGGUGAUUUGAUAAACAAGACAUUAUAGACCUUACAUUGUACCAUGGAGAGAAAUGGUUAUUAAUAAUACAGUUGUAGAACUGUAUUAUUUAAUUGUACAGUCACAUCGUUUAAUUAUAAUUAUCAUAAAUUCUUUGAUGGAGAGGAAAUCAGAAUCAGAUGUAAGACUUCAGCAUUCCAAGAAUGAUGUCAGAUGACCCCCUUCAUGGUGGAUUAUGCACUUAUUUACUAUGAGAUAUAUUUCUUCUCCAGAGAGUCCUUGUUGUGUAUCAGUUGUAGAUUUUUGGUUUGCAGUUCUUCUGAAGUUUUGAUGUAGGAGUCUAUAUGUAUAUGAGAUUGUUUUAAGUUGUUGUUCUCUUAAUUGCAAGUUCAUCUCUGGUGUCCCGCAUUUGUACCCACCUCUUCUCAUGAUUUCUGAUUUUGAUGGUAUAAUUGUGCAUGGAUGAUUUCGUAUCUUUACUGUAUAUAUACCUUUACUGGUAAGCCUUGUCAUUUGUGGAAUUUUUGUUUCCUGUUGCUGAUCUUUUCUUUCCUGCCUAGAGAAGCUCCUUUAGUAUUUGUUGUAAGGCUGGUUUAGUGUUGCUGAAUUCUCUCAGCUUUUGCUUAUCUGAGGUUUUUAUUUCUCCUUCACAUCUGAAUGAGAGCCUUGCUGGGUAGAGUAUUCUUGGUUGGAGGUUUUUUCCUUUCAUCACGUUAAGUAUAUCAAUGCCACUCCCUUCUGGACUGCAGAGUUUCUGCUGAGAAAUCUGCCGAUAACCUUAUUGGGGCUCCCUUGUAUGUGACUUGUUUCUUUUCCCUAGCUGCUUUCAAGAUUUUCUCUUUGUUUUUAAUUUUGGUCAGUUUGACUAUUAUGUGUCUCGGUGUGUUCCUCCUUGGGUUUAUUUUAUAUGGUACUCAUUGCCCUUUCUGGAUUUGAGUGAGUGAUUCCUUUCCCAUGUUAGGGAAGUUUUCGGCUAUUAUCUCUUGGAAUAUUUUUUCUGUCCCCUUCUCUAUCUCUUCUCCUUCUGGCACCCCAUAAUUCGGAUGUUGGUGCGUUUAACGUUGUCCCAGAGUUCUCUGAGACUCUCUUCAUUUGUUUUUAAUCUUUUUUCUCUUUUCUGUUCUGCAUCUGUAAUUUCUUCUAAUCUGUCCUCCACCGCGCUUAUUCGUUCUUCUACCUCCUGUAUUCUGCUGUUAGCUGCUUCUCGUGCAUUUUUUAUUUCGCAUCUCUUCUUGUUUGAGUUUUAUAUCUUGUAUCUCUUUGGUCAGUGUUUCCUGUAAGUUAUCCAUCUUUGCCUCCAGUUUAUUUCCAAUGUCUUGCAUCAUCUUCAGCAUCAACAGUCUAAAGUCUUUUUCCUGGAGGCUGAGAAUCUGCUCAUGGCUUAGCUGUUUUUCUGGGGUUUUUUCUUUCUCCCUCAUCUGAGUUAUAGUUCUCUGUCUUUUCAUUUUUAUAGGUGUUUGGUGUGGUGACCUUCUUACAGAUAAUAGAGUUAUAGCCUCUCUUACUUCUGAUGUCUGCCCCCCUGUGGCUGAAGUCAGUGUGGGGGCUUGCUGUAGGCUUCCUGAUGGGAGGGGUUGAUGCCUGCCCCCUGGUAGGAGGAGCCGAUUCUAAUCCCUCUGGUGGGUGGGGCUUAGUCUCUGGAUGGGAUUAGGGGCUGCUGUGUGCCUGAGGCUCUUUAGGUAACCUGUUUACUGAGGGGCGGGGCUGUGAUCCUACCUGGGUUGUUGUUUGCCCUGGGGCUUUUCGGCUGCUGACUGAUGGGUGGGGCCAGAUUUUCCCAAAAUGGCCCCCUCCAGAGAAAGGCAACUGCUGAAUAUUCCCUGAGAGCUUUGCCUUCAAUGUCCUUCCCUCACACCAAGCCACAUUCACCCCUGUUUUCCCAGGAUGUCCUCCAAAAACUGCAGUCAGGUUUGACCUAGAUUCCUAUGGAGACCUUGCUCUGCCCGGGGACCCAGUGCACGUGAAAGUCCAUUUGCGCCUUUCAAGAAUGGGGUCUCCGUUUCCCCCAGUCCCAUGGAGCUCCUGUGCACAAGCCCCACUGGCCUUCAAUGCCAGAUGCUCCAGGGGCUCUUUCUCCCAGUGCCAUAUCCCAGCACGUGAGGGUUUGAUGUGGGGCUCAGAGCUCUCACUCCUGUAGGUGAGUCUCUGUGAGCCAGUUAGUUUUCAGUCUGUGCAGCUUCCCACCUGGGAGGUAUGGGUUUGUUUAUAUCACGAAGUCACCCCUCCUACCUCUUGAUGUGGCCUCCUAUUUUUCUUCUGGAGUAGGGUAUGGGUUCUGGUCCAUUUGGGUGGAGAUUGCUCAGUCUUUAGUUGUGAAUUUUGUUGUUUUUAGGAGAGAAGUUGAGCUCCAGUCCUUCUAUUCCGCCAUCUUAAUCCCGUCUCAAGAGUCCUUUUAUAAAACGGUAUUUUUAAAACUUUGUGUCUAUUCCAUGUUUUCAGUGUAUUUUACGAUCUUUUAAAUUUUGAUGCAACCAUGCUAGUUCUCUUCUUUAUUUCUGAUUUACUUUUUGUCCAUAAGCUGUGUGUUGCUUCCUGAGUUCUAAAAGUUAGUUUCUUCUGAGUCUUUGGUGCUAUGAUGUGGAAUUUUUUUUGUAAUCUAAGAAGGUAGUUAUAAAAUAAUACUAGUGACCUCUAAGUGAAUGUUGCACAUUUGAUUAUUUUCCAAAUAGCCAAAGGAUCUAAACUGAUCCAAAAGAAUAAUUAAGUUAGUAUUAGUAACAUAGGUAAAUAUGCAAAUCAAAUAAUUAUCUUCCUAAUUCUUUCCCCUUCCUCCCAGAUUUUAACCAACUUAAAGAAUAUAUUAUUGCUUUUUUAUUUUUUUUAGGGCCGCAGGUGUGGCAUAUGGAAGUUCCCUGACUAGGGAACUGCCGGCCUACACCACAGCCACAGCAAUGCACAAUCUGAGCCCACAUCUACAACCUGAACCAUAGCUCAUGGCAAUGCCGGAUCCUUAACCCACUGAGAGAGGGCAGGGAUCAAACCUGCAUCCUUAUGGAUACCAGUCCCUCAUGGGUACCAGUUGGGUUCUUAACCUGCUGAGCCACAGUAGGAACUCCCUGAUUGCUUGUACUUUAGAGGCUUUUUGUAUAGUUUUGUAGGCUUCAUAAGUCCACAGCGGGCAGAUGUGACAAUUUAACGUGUUACGUGUGUUGCAUUAAUGUUAGUUUUUUAUCUGUCUUUUGUUUACUCUGCCUUAUCUCAGAGGAUGGGUCAUAGACAAAUGGCUGGUGCUGCGGGGCUGGUCUGACCCUGGGACUGGAGUUUCUUGCAUAUUUCUGGAUUUGCUGGUCUCUGGCCUCUGUGUCAGAGGACCGCAGCCUAAUGGUUGUUGAGGUUGUCUUGACAUUCUAAGGGACUGCUGUUUGAAUAAAGACUUGAAUUAUUUUAUUGUUGCUGUAUUCAUACUGAUCAUGUAUACUCAAAUGUUUAUGAUAUUUGAUAAAUAUUUGAAGGAAUUUGGAAGUAGUAUCUUGAAAAGUUACAUACAUGUAUAUUAUUAAAACCUCAGACCUGUAAAAUCAAGAUUAAGGUCUUAGUUUUCUAAGAGUGUAUGCUGUUAGUAUAGUUGAUGAUAGAAAUUCACGUGCUUUGGAGUUCCCUUUGUGGUGAAGUGGAAACAAAUCUGACUAGUAACCAUGAGGUUGUGGGUUUGAUCUUUGGCCUUGUGCCGUGGGUUAAUAAGGAUCCUGCCUUGCCAUGAUCUGUGGUGUAGGUCACAGACAUGGCUCGGAUCCUUUGUUGCUGUGGCUGUGGUAGAGGCUGGCAGCUGUAGCUCCAGUUUGACCCCUAGCCUGGGAA
rnacentral:lncRNA from 1 species